GGCGGACGGGUGAGUAACACGUGGGUAACCUGCCUGUAAGACUGGGUUAACUCCGGGAAACCGGGGCUAAUACCGGAGCUUGAUUGAACCGCAUGGUUCAAUUAUAAAAGGUGGCUUUUAGCUACCACUUACAGAUGGACCCGCGGCGCUUUAGCUAGUUGGUGAGGUAACGGCUCACCUAGGCAACGAUGCGUAGCCGACCUGAGAGGGUGAUCGGCCACACUGGGACUGACCCACGGCCCAGACUCCUACGGCAGGCAGCAGUAGGGAAUCUUCCGCAAUGGACGAAAGUCUGACGGAGCAACGCCGCGUGAGUGAUGAAGGUUUUCGGAUCGUAAAACUCUGUUGUUAGCUACGAAGAACAAGUACCGUUCGAAUAGGCGGUACCUUGACGGUACCUAACCAGAAAGCCACGGCUAACUACGUGCCAGCAGCCGCGGUAAUACGUAGCUGGCAGCGUUGUCCCGAAUUAUUCGGCGUAAAGCGCGCGCAGGCGGUUUCUUAAGUCUGAUGUGAAAGCCCCCGGCUCAACCGGGGAGGGUCAUUGGAAACUGGCGAACUUGAGUGCAGAAGAGGAGAGUGGAAUUCCACGUGUAGCGGUGAAAUGCGUAGAGAUGUGGAGGAACACCAGUGGCGAAGGCGACUCU
rnacentral:rRNA from 1 species